rnacentral:lncRNA from 1 species
CUCUAUGCUCUUUGAGGACAGCUGCCUGACCCUUCUCAUCUUGAUAUCCGUUAGCACUGCACCCAGCACAUGGUAGGUGUUCACACCUGUGGUUUGGAGGGAGCCCAAAAACCAGGUUUGUGAUUUUUGCAGCACACCGAUGUAUUGGCUGCCCUCAGCCAGCAGGGGGAGCACAUUUGCUCCUUAAAUGAAGCCGCCAGCUCUGAACUGUGACACCCUCUGAAGAGCUGAUGAAUGGAUUUACCUCGGAGGGUGAGACGGGCCCAGAGGACUAGGAGGCAGAAGCAUGUUGAUCCUGGCGGUUCAGCCAUUGGGAUACUCGUUUCAUCUGUCCGAGAUUGAGACCCAAUAUCCUCAAGCAGAAAAUAGGGAGAGUCAUCUUACACUCCUCAUAGGUGAUAUGCUUGUAAGUAUCUUACUGUGCCCAGUGCAGAAUGAGCCCUCGGAAAGGUCAUUGAUUGUUGCUGUUGCUGCUGCUGCUGCUGUUGCUGUUUUGCUGCUGUUAUUGCCACUACUGUUGUUGCUAUUGUUGUUGCUGC